rnacentral:rRNA from 1 species
UUAAGCGACUAAGCGUACACGGUGGAUGCCCUGGCAGUCAGAGGCGAUGAAGGACGUGCUAAUCUGCGAUAAGCGUCGGUAAGGUGAUAUGAACCGUUAUAACCGGCGAUUUCCGAAUGGGGAAACCCAGUGUGUUUCGACACACUAUCAUUAACUGAAUCCAUAGGUUAAUGAGGCGAACCGGGGGAACUGAAACAUCUAAGUACCCCGAGGAAAAGAAAUCAACCGAGAUUCCCCCAGUAGCGGCGAGCGAACGGGGAGCAGCCCAGAGCCUGAAUCAGUGUGUGUGUUAGUGGAAGCGUCUGGAAAGGCGUGCGAUACAGGGUGACAGCCCCGUACACAAAAAUGCACAUAUUGUGAGCUCGAUGAGUAGGGCGGGACACGUGGUAUCCUGUCUGAAUAUGGGGGGACCAUCCUCCAAGGCUAAAUACUCCUGACUGACCGAUAGUGAACCAGUACCGUGAGGGAAAGGCGAAAAGAACCCCGGCGAGGGGAGUGAAAAAGAACCUGAAACCGUGUACGUACAAGCAGUGGGAGCCUCUUUUAUGGGGUGACUGCGUACCUUUUGUAUAAUGGGUCAGCGACUUAUAUUCUGUAGCAAGGUUAACCGAAUAGGGGAGCCGAAGGGAAACCGAGUCUUAACUGGGCGUUAAGUUGCAGGGUAUAGACCCGAAACCCGGUGAUCUAGCCAUGGGCAGGUUGAAGGUUGGGUAACACUAACUGGAGGACCGAACCGACUAAUGUUGAAAAAUUAGCGGAUGACUUGUGGCUGGGGGUGAAAGGCCAAUCAAACCGGGAGAUAGCUGGUUCUCCCCGAAAGCUAUUUAGGUAGCGCCUCGUGAAUUCAUCUCCGGGGGUAGAGCACUGUUUCGGCAAGGGGGUCAUCCCGACUUACCAACCCGAUGCAAACUGCGAAUACCGGAGAAUGUUAUCACGGGAGACACACGGCGGGUGCUAACGUCCGUCGUGAAGAGGGAAACAACCCAGACCGCCAGCUAAGGUCCCAAAGUCAUGGUUAAGUGGGAAACGAUGUGGGAAGGCCCAGACAGCCAGGAUGUUGGCUUAGAAGCAGCCAUCAUUUAAAGAAAGCGUAAUAGCUCACUGGUCGAGUCGGCCUGCGCGGAAGAUGUAACGGGGCUAAACCAUGCACCGAAGCUGCGGCAGCGACGCUUAUGCGUUGUUGGGUAGGGGAGCGUUCUGUAAGCCUGUGAAGGUGUGCUGUGAGGCAUGCUGGAGGUAUCAGAAGUGCGAAUGCUGACAUAAGUAACGAUAAAGCGGGUGAAAAGCCCGCUCGCCGGAAGACCAAGGGUUCCUGUCCAACGUUAAUCGGGGCAGGGUGAGUCGACCCCUAAGGCGAGGCCGAAAGGCGUAGUCGAUGGGAAACAGGUUAAUAUUCCUGUACUUGGUGUUACUGCGAAGGGGGGACGGAGAAGGCUAUGUUGGCCGGGCGACGGUUGUCCCGGUUUAAGCGUGUAGGCUGGUUUUCCAGGCAAAUCCGGAAAAUCAAGGCUGAGGCGUGAUGACGAGGCACUACGGUGCUGAAGCAACAAAUGCCCUGCUUCCAGGAAAAGCCUCUAAGCAUCAGGUAACAUCAAAUCGUACCCCAAACCGACACAGGUGGUCAGGUAGAGAAUACCAAGGCGCUUGAGAGAACUCGGGUGAAGGAACUAGGCAAAAUGGUGCCGUAACUUCGGGAGAAGGCACGCUGAUAUGUAGGUGAAGUCCCUUGCGGAUGGAGCUGAAAUCAGUCGAAGAUACCAGCUGGCUGCAACUGUUUAUUAAAAACACAGCACUGUGCAAACACGAAAGUGGACGUAUACGGUGUGACGCCUGCCCGGUGCCGGAAGGUUAAUUGAUGGGGUCAGCGCAAGCGAAGCUCUUGAUCGAAGCCCCGGUAAACGGCGGCCGUAACUAUAACGGUCCUAAGGUAGCGAAAUUCCUUGUCGGGUAAGUUCCGACCUGCACGAAUGGCGUAAUGAUGGCCAGGCUGUCUCCACCCGAGACUCAGUGAAAUUGAACUCGCUGUGAAGAUGCAGUGUACCCGCGGCAAGACGGAAAGACCCCGUGAACCUUUACUAUAGCUUGACACUGAACAUUGAGCCUUGAUGUGUAGGAUAGGUGGGAGGCUUUGAAGUGUGGACGCCAGUCUGCAUGGAGCCGACCUUGAAAUACCACCCUUUAAUGUUUGAUGUUCUAACGUGGACCCGUGAUCCGGGUUGCGGACAGUGUCUGGUGGGUAGUUUGACUGGGGCGGUCUCCUCCUAAAGAGUAACGGAGGAGCACGAAGGUUGGCUAAUCCUGGUCGGACAUCAGGAGGUUAGUGCAAUGGCAUAAGCCAGCUUGACUGCGAGCGUGACGGCGCGAGCAGGUGCGAAAGCAGGUCAUAGUGAUCCGGUGGUUCUGAAUGGAAGGGCCAUCGCUCAACGGAUAAAAGGUACUCCGGGGAUAACAGGCUGAUACCGCCCAAGAGUUCAUAUCGACGGCGGUGUUUGGCACCUCGAUGUCGGCUCAUCACAUCCUGGGGCUGAAGUAGGUCCCAAGGGUAUGGCUGUUCGCCAUUUAAAGUGGUACGCGAGCUGGGUUUAGAACGUCGUGAGACAGUUCGGUCCCUAUCUGCCGUGGGCGCUGGAGAACUGAGGGGGGCUGCUCCUAGUACGAGAGGACCGGAGUGGACGCAUCACUGGUGUUCGGGUUGUCAUGCCAAUGGCACUGCCCGGUAGCUAAAUGCGGAAGAGAUAAGUGCUGAAAGCAUCUAAGCACGAAACUUGCCCCGAGAUGAGUUCUCCCUGACUCCUUGAGAGUCCUGAAGGAACGUUGAAGACGACGACGUUGAUAGGCCGGGUGUGUAAGCGCAGCGAUGCGUUGAGCUAACCGGUACUAAUGAACCGUGAGGCUUAACCUU